rnacentral:rRNA from 1 species
AUGUCAUCAGGUAACAAAAUCUUAAUUAAAUCCGUGGCUCAAGCUAUUCCAGCUUAUGUUAUGAGUGUGUUCAAGCUUCCAGCCUCGGUUUGUGAUGAGCUCACCCGUAUGAUGCGCCAAUACUGGUGGAGAGUGGAGAAUGGGAAGAAGAAAAUGGCAUGGACAAGUUGGGACAAAAUGAUACUCCCCAAAUCUAUGGGGGGCAUGGGCUUCAGGGAUAUGAGAGCGUUCAACCAAGCGCUGCUGGCUAAGCAAGCUUGGAGGCUCCUCGACUCUCCUGACAGCUUAGUUGCGAGACUAAUGAAGGCAAAGUAUUACCCUCAAGGUCAGUUGCUGGAUAUAGUAUUUUCAAUCUCUGGAUCAGCAGUGUGGAAAGGUAUUCUGCAUGGUUUGGAGCUGCUCAAAAAAGGUGUCAUAUGGCGGGUGGGGGACGGGGAGCAUAUCCGGACGUGGCGAGAUCCUUGGAUCCCACGGCCUUCUUCCUUCCGGCCGAUCACCCCAAAAGGCUCCUGCCAUCUCAAUCGUGUUUCAGCGUUUCUGGAUGCUAAUGGGGCAUGGAGGGCUGAUCGCCUCCAUGAAUUUUUUUGGGAGAUGGAUGUUCAGCAUAUUCUCAAAAUUCGUACUUCUCCAAGACAACGAUCUGACUUCAUCUCAUGGUUUCCAGAGAAGAGUGGUGUUUUCUCUGUUAGAAGUGCAUACAUAUUAGUUACAUGCGAUCACAACACAACAGUUUCUGAAGGGGCAACAAGUGCGUCCGCGAGUGGAUCCCGGUCCCUAUGGAACUGCGUAUGGCAAUCAUCGGUCCCGCAG